rnacentral:rRNA from 1 species
CAGCUCUCCGAGUGGUAGGGAUGAUUAUUGGGCUUAAAGCGUCCGUAGCCUGCUUAGCAAGUCUCCUGUUAAAUUCAGCGACCUAAUCGUUGAGCCGCGGGAGAUACUACUAGGCUAGGAGGCGGGAGAGGUCGACGGUACUUCUGGGGUAGGGGUGAAAUCCUAUAAUCCCAGGAGGACCACCAGUGGCGAAGGCUGUCGACUAGAACGCGCUCGACGGUGAGGGACGAAAGCUGAGGGAGCGAACCGGAUUAGAUACCCGAGUAGUCC